AUGAGUUCCUGCCUAUCUCAUAUGAUCAGAGAUCAUUCCCUGGACUUUGUUUGCCUGCAAGAGACCCAUAAGAAAAACUUUCUGGAGAGCUACUUCAGGAAGAUAGAUCCUCAUAAUGCUUUUGAUUGGGACUGGAUCCCAGCUAUUGGGAAAUCAGGAGGCAUCCUCUGUGGAGUGAAAAAAGAGAAGUUUGAAGUUAUCUCCUGGAGAAAAGGGAGAUUCAUUUUACAAGUUUGUUUCCUUGAUGUCGACAUUCAGAAAGUCUGGACCUUAUGUACAGUUUAUGGUCCUGCACAUGAUUGUGACAAAAAUGAUUUUGUAGUGGAGCUGGCAGAGUUUUGUAGCCACACUCAAACACCUUUCCUUAUUGGGGGGGACUUUAAUAUCCUCAGACAUAGUGGGGAGAAGAAUAAGAAUUGGCACCACUCCAUUUAUAUUGAUUUGUUUAACUCAGUUAUAAAUUCUAUGUGCCUGAACGAGAUCCAUAUGUGUGGGGGGAUGUACACGUGGACUAAUAACCAAGCUCACCCGACCCUAGAAAAAUUAGACCGUGUGUUGAUGAGUAAUGAUUGGGAGGAUCUGUUCCCUCUUGUUAAUGUUAGAAAGUUGGUCAGAGAUAUGUCAGACCAUAAUGCUCUCUUGGUGUCCUCGGACAAUCAUGUUGUACGAGUUCCGCACACAAGAGAGUUCAGAUUCGAGUUAAGUUGGCUCAAGUCUGAAGAGUUCCUUCCUCUGGUUGAAAAGAUUUGGACUAAGAAUGUCAAUACAUCUGACCCUGUCGAUGUCUUGAACAUCAAGCUGAAAAGAGUGAAAAAAUUCUUCAAAGGAUGGGGAUCUAAUAAAUUUGGAAAUGAGAGGAUCAGAAAGAAAAAAAAUAAGGAGGAAUUGGAGAAGAUUGAGGAGAUGGAAGAAGAUGGCAAUAUCGACCCUGAGUUGCUAUGUAAUAAACAAAGUUUGUUGGUGGAGCUCAAUGACAUCCUUGUCAAUGAGGAGCUUUACUUACUGCAACAAUCUAAAGAAAGAUGGCUGCUUAAAGGAGAUAGUAACACAACUUAUUACCAGAAGAUCGCUAAUGGAAGAUACGGACAGCCCUAG
rnacentral:rRNA from 1 species